AGAGAGAGAGAGAGAGAGAGAGAGAGAGAGGCUUUUUUCAAAUAAACCAUUUUUCAGAACAGAUAGCCCCCUUUCCUCCUAGACAAUGCAGAGGCUCAUGAAAACACCCUUCUGCAUCCAAUUAUCAUCCUGGGCAAUUUAAGUCCACUUUUUCUAUACCACUAGCAUUCUCUCCAGCCUCACACUGACUCUGGCUCUGCUGGCUAGCCACUCAAUCAUAUACCUGCUGUGUGUAGAUCUGUGCUUAGUCAUCAAAGGUGGGUGUUUGUGUAUAAGAGGAAAACAAAAGAGUCUAGCGAAACAGGACAUGCAUUCAAAGAGCUGCCAGGGACCUAGGACAGUACAGGACAAAAUGUUGGCUUGUGAGGACAAGGCCCUGGGUGCUUUAGGUGGAGAGAAGAGAUGAGGCAAAAGGGUUUGAGAUCACAGAAGACCCUGUGGCAGACCCUGUGGCACUUCCUUUAAAACUAUGGAUUGAACCUAACACCUUAAGCUUGCCAGGCAGGUGCACUGGCACUGAGCUACAUGCUGUUCCCAUGGCUUCACACUGCAUAAUUCUCAUUUGAUUUGUGGAUUAUGUUGCCUUUAUUAUUAUUUUUAAAUAAUUAACACUUAGGCUCUUUUCUUUCUAGGCCCACGCUUUUACUUUUCCUGGGAUAAUUUAAUUCUUUUUUCUACUUUCAUAUAAUACUGGCUUCUGGGGGCGUGGCUCAGGAGGAGAGCAUUUGUCAGGCAUGCUCAAAGACCCGAAUUCCAUUCCCAUCAUUGUAAUAAUGGCAAUAAUGCUAUGCCCUAAACUUUUCUGUAUAUCAUUAUUUUCAUAUAACAUAUUCAAUACAGCCUACCCAGUAUUUUAUCACAUAGAUUUACCAUUUUCUAACUAAAGCCAUAGUGUGUGUGUGUGUGUGUGUGUGUGUGUGUGUGAAAUCUGACAUUUGUUUGUGUCAUCCCUCGUCCUUACUCAAGCCCUUGCCAGUUGAGUUCCCACCCGUCCCAAUAUCCUCUGUUCUGUUUCUAUAUCACAGGAGUCUUAUCAUUCGCCCUUCUUCUUCUUCUUCUUCUUCUUUUCCUAUCUCUCAUGUUUCCUUUUAUAGUUUCAUGGCUUAUACAUACAUGCAUAACUGUGUCUGCCUAUGAGAGGACAUACGAUAUUUUUCUUUACUAAUGUAAUUUCCAGAUUCCUUCAUUUCCCUUGAAAUUUCGUAAUUUUAUGUUUUUUUGUUUUGUUUUGUUUUGUUUUAUAGCUGAAUAAAAUCCCAUUCUGUCUACGCCCCGAUCUUUCAUUAUCCGUUCAUCUGUUCAUGAGCAUCUAGGCUGGUUCCAUUUCCUUGCUGUGUGAAUAGAGAAGCAGUAAACAAUGUUGUGGGAUCUCUGUGGAAGGCUAUGAGGUCUUUUAUGUGACCCUUGAGGAGUGGGACAGCAGGGUCGGACAAGAGCUCCAUUUUAAACGUUUUUGAGAACCGCCAUGGUGAUUUCCAUAAUGGCUACGCCAGUUGCCCCUUGUCCCAGCAGUGAAUAAGGUUCACCCUUUCCCCAGACACUUGAUGUCCUUUAUUUUCUUGAUAAUAGCCACUUGGACUGGGGUGAGACAGAAUCUCAAAGCGGUUUUAAUUUGCAUUUCCCUGAAGUCCAGCCAGACUUAAAUAGCUAGUGCUGGGUUUCAGAUACAGCAAUGGAGGUUUUACUCUGUUCAUUUUCGAGGACUUAAAGGAUUGAAAGACACUGUCUCUCUAACGACUGAUGCUGAAGCUUAGGUUAAAGACACCACACAAGUGGGACAUGUAUUGUAAGAGGGGUGAGACGUGCAAUCAAUGUCUGUCCACGGCCAGAUAGAGAGUGUCACGAAUCCUUUCUCUAGCAGGCUGCUUUCAGAAGGCAAGAGAACCCAGUUGAACACUCUGGAUUAUUUUGAAAGCCUAGGCAAACAGCACAUUUGAGAACCGAAUCGGCCUCCGUUUGUUCAAGGGAUGGUGGGUGGCUUCAGCUGCCUAGGAAACAGGCUUUGAAUAUGUGCUUCCUGGAAUUCUCGAUGCUGCUCUCCUGAAAACGUUCCUCUGGUUGCUGAGGAUGGAUUCUUGCUAUUUGGCAUUUAUAGGCCCUGUGCUUUUGCUAAUUUUCCCUGGGAUUUGUAGGUUGUAUGUCUGUCUGUCUGUCUAUCUAUCUAUCUAUCUAUCUAAUCAGUAAGCUGUUGUAAAGUCCUGUGUCUCUUCAACACUAGGCCAACAUCCACCCUUCUCUCUGCUUCCUCCUCCUCUCUGCUCUCUGACCUUCUCCCUCCUACCAAACUUGUGCAGAUACCAAAAAAAAAAAAAAAAAAAAAAAAAAAAAAAAAAAAAAUCCGGUUUGAAAGCUAAAAUUCUAGCACAGUUAGUUGAAGCUUACACCCAGGUCCCUUGCUAUAGUGUAUCAGAUGCUACUUGGGAGAGUAAAUGGUACAUGUAGGUUGUAGGUGUUGCACUGGGGUAUUAGAGAAAAGGCAAACACAGAAUUCCUGGUUGAACUGUACCCUAAUGAAGGCCCAGCACAAGUUAACAUUGUACUAAAUGAGACAUAAAAGAGCAAAUACUCGCUCUGAGCUUUGGGAAAGAAAGGAGUCAGAAGUAGAAAGUCUUCAAGAACUUCAUUUUUUAUUAUUCUUUUAUUUUAUUUGUUCAUCAAAUCCUGAAUAUAUUUCAGUAUGGUUCACUUAUAAAAUUUAUCUUUCUCUGCAAAGAGUAACUGAGUAUUUGACCAGACUGAGAGAGCUGUAUCCCGUGGGAAAGUUAGAACUGCCUAUCUCGUUGGGCAAGAUGAACUAGCUAGAUACUGUUGGGAGCCUAAACGAAUAUUUAUUACAGGACGGUAUUCUCAUUAUAGGCCUUUUGGUUCAAUGUCUGCCAUGGUGGGUCAGCCAAGGUGAGCAGUGAUAGGAUCCCCGGGCAGGGAGAGUUUAUGUGGGGAUUCUGUCAGUUACAUUGUAUGUGCUCACACACACGUGCUGUGUGCCCACACAGAGUUUCCAUAUACAAGAAUCUUGAAAUCGUCUCUCAAGGCAAAUCAUAGAUAGUUGAGGGAAAAAAAAUACAAGAUAAUGUAAAACAGCUAAAUCUAUUCUAUUCU
rnacentral:lncRNA from 1 species